ensembl:lncRNA
CGGCAAAGUUCGAACCACUUCAUGAACCAGUCACGUGGUACAGCCGGGCAGCGAGGCUUCGGACGUCAUCAUUUUCAGCUCCUCCCAUAAAUGAAGCAAGCCUCGAUACGCGCUUCGCGGAAACGCCCCCUCCAUUACUCGACACACGCUCCGAAGCCUCGAUACAGAACGUCCCAUCACUACUGGACAUGCUUAUUUUGUGGACUGUAUCCUGCCUUUACCUGCUCCCUCCUAUACUGAUGUGGUGUAUGUGGUAUUGCUGAGCUUGUAUGUGGUGGAAGCAGAAUAUGUGAGGAUUACUACUGCAUGUUCCAAGGCUUUUUACACAACUUGACCAAUACACUGACCAGCUCAUAAAAGUCUUCAAGAAAAAAGGAGGCGUUGCAGGGAAGAAAAUUAGACAAACUUUGGCCCCAGCCACACAGAAGGAAAGUAUUGAAAAGGGGAGGGAGUGUGUCCUCAGGGCACUACCUUUUUACCUGAAUGAAGACCCAAGCAUCCUCUUCAAAGAAUAAUUGCUACAGCUGUUCAGAGGGAGCUGGAACAAAUUACCCUUGCUAUCUUUACCAUCGAAAGAGCUGAUGCCAGCACUCCUCCAGCCGAUGUGGGUAUAACCAUCUAGUGUGUCCUGCAUGACCUGGAAGACCUGGCCUCUGCAUGUGCACUCUUAAUGGGUGGGAUAUAUGCACUGAAUCUCAGUUAACCUCAAGACUGAAAGCUUUCUUUGAAGUACUUCAGAAGCUCUUCCUUCAUCUGUAUGUCAGCAUACUCUUGACCAAGGUACAAUUGCUCAAGAAUACACUGAAUGAAUAAGCCAACCUUUAAUUUGGAUGAUGAAUGUUCUGUCAGAUGGACAGAAGUUUUUCGGAGGCUGAAUGGGAAUAAAAUGGUAAUUUGUAAAUGACAGAUAACGGGAAAAUUACAUUUAAGAGAAAUUUAGAACAUUUUGAAAAGUUUGUAAACUACUACAAUUUGAGAGAUUUUACUGUUGUGGGGGGCUAGUAAGAGACAAUCAAAAGUAUUGAGAUUUAAAGGAUUUAAUUGAGAGAUGAUACUGCACCAGAAAUGUUGAAGGGUGGUGUGUAUAUUAGCGUUCAAGGCAUAUUGUUAUGAGGUGGAAAUAUGUUCAUAUUCAGUUUGUGUUACAUUGUGUGCAUUGUAAAGGUAAUUGCAAUACAUACUAAAAAUAAGGGUAAGUUAGGAGGUUGAUCUGAUAUCCUCGUGUUGGUGUUGUUCCCAGAUCAUCAUACUAAAUGUUGUUCCAGGAUCAACAUUGCAAGUGACCAAUCAGAAUGUUGUGACGUCAUACUUUUGCGACUUCGGGAAAAACCGGCGUAAAACAAAAAACUGUACUUAAGCUGCGUGAAACCGCCUCUGCCCGCCGAUCAACUGACCCUAACCCUAACCCUAACCCUUUAAUAAACAGUAAGCAGAAUUGAUAUUGUCCUUGCACGAAUGGCUUGGCGCGCAAAAGAAUAACGUCACAACAAUGUGACAACAUUUUCAUGAUGGUCUGGGAACAACACCAACACGAGGAUAUCAGAUCAUCCAAGUUGGGAAUGCAGGAUGAAUGUAUAUUUUGUGGACUUUUAAAGACGAACAAUUGUUUCCAUGUUAAAAUGUUUACAUCUGAAGUUUUUUGCCCAAACACUAGUAAAAUAAAUGUUGACAGUGGCAAGUGUUAAAUGGUUACUGCUGUGCUGUUGCAAAAAAACUGAACGCUGACAAGCUUACAUAAAUUUUUUUUAAAUUGUGGCUGUUGAGGUGGACACUUCACUUUGCAUUGUUAAAGGAAAGCACUUCAUUGGCAUUGUGUUACUGGACUGACCCUAAGCAAUCAUUGCAAAUAGCAACUUUGCUAUCCAUUUUAGACACUAAAAGAAAAAAACACUCACAGACCUUACUAGCAUCACAUGUGCAUAACUCAAGUGUCAUCUUAUCAAUGUGUUAUGUGAUCUUCAAUGCGUUUUUUUUUUCUCUCUUCUAUUUCUGGUAGAUACAGACAUUUAAUUUAAAGUCUUGAUGUUGCAUCUGUCUACAUACUGUUAAUUACUAACCCUAAUGAGCUGUUGUGUUUUAUUUUGGACUGGGUUUACACAAAUGCUCACUGAAUGUGUUGGCAAUAAAAGAAAUUUUAAAAAAUAA